CUUUCUUACAAGAACGCAAGAGUAAUUUGGUAAACUCUACCUGUCGUACAAUGUACAGUUUCAAGGUUCAUGGGCUCAAAAGUACUGAGUAUCGCCCACAGCCUGAGCUGCACCACAUCAAAAUAGCGAUGAAUAACUCAACUGCUAUUGCUCCUGUAAUUAUAAACACAAAGGAACUAUUCUCUGCCUUCUCCAGAAUUGUACUGAUAUUUUCAGUGAAGCAACUGAAGACAAUACCUCACACAUGAACAAAAGCAAAAUUGUCUAUAAGAUGAGAAAAUGCAACUGCUCUAGACAUUUGUAUUAGAUAUGUGGCAGUGUUAAGAC